rnacentral:rRNA from 1 species
UCGGACGGGAUCCAGCUGGUAGCCUGCUACCGGUUGGUGAGAGUGGCGCACGGGUGCGUAACGCGUGAGCAACCUACCCAUAUCAGGGGGAUAGCCCGAAGAAAUUCGGAUUAACACCGCAUGACACAGAUUUACCGCAUGGUUUAUUUGUCAAAUAUUCAUAGGAUAUGGAUGGGCUCGCGUGACAUUAGCUAGUUGGUGGGGUAACGGCCCACCAAGGCGACGAUGUCUAGGGGCUCUGAGAGGAGAAUCCCCCACACUGGUACUGAGACACGGACCGGACUCCUACGGGAGGCAGCAGUAAGGAAUAUUGGUCAAUGGGGGCAACCCUGAACCAGCCAUGCCGCGUGCAGGAUGACUGCCCUAUGGGUUGUAAACUGCUUUUGUUAGGGAAUAAACCCCACUACGUGUAGUGGGCUGAAUGUACCUAAAGAAUAAGGAUCGGCUAACUCCGUGCCAGCAGCCGCGGUGAUACGGAGGAUCCGAGCGUUAUCCGGAUUUAUUGGGUUUAAAGGGUGCGUAGGCGGCACUUUAAGUCAGGGGUGAAAGACGGCAGCUCAACUGUCGCAGUGCCCUUGAUACUGAAGUGCUUGAAUGCGGUUGAAGACGGCGGAAUGAGACAAGUAGCGGUGAAAUGCAUAGAUAUGUCUCAGAACACCGAUUGCGAAGGCAGCUGUCUAAGCCGUUAUUGACGCUGAUGCACGAAAGCGUGGGGAUCGAACAGGAUUAGAUACCCUGGUAGUCCACGCCCUAAA